AAGGCGCUGCCGUGCAGCGCGAAGCCGCCGCCACCGUCGCACGCUCUGUCGCUGCUACUGGUGAUGGGUUGCCGAGCCUCGCCGUUGUGCCUGGUUGCCGAGAAACGGCGUUGCCGUUGCUGGAAUCCACUGCCGUUUCUGUCAUCAGAUCCUGGGGCCGCUGCCGUCACUUGAGGUAGCUGCCGGAGCUUCUACCGCUUCGUUGCUGCAUUUCUCUUUAGCUGUGGGUCGAGUUCUGGAAAUUGUAUGAUUAAAAUAAGGGGUGCUGCGCUGUCAUCUUUCUUCAUUUCUCGUGAUUGCUGCCGUAAGCUAAGACUAAAAAAGGACUCUUGACGCAUUAACCUUUAAAGGUUUCGACUUUUGAGGCUCAAUAUUAAAUAAAUAUAGUACGAAAUCAAAGAAGUAAAGGUAGAUAAUGCCUAGACUUUUAGUGUGAUCAUGAGGUGCUAAAAGGAAGUGUGUUACAAAAAAAAGGCAGACAUACCACAAGGUGGGCUUCGCUCGACGGAAGCUCACUAUGAUUCUUCCCAAACAAUGCCGGAGGUGAACUUGGGAAGUGAAAAUGAUCCUAUCUUUCAAACAAAGACAGAUCAAAGCAGUGUAAACAAACCAAGUGAUAACAUUGGAUUUCAAGUUGGGUGGAGAAGAAGAAUCAUUCAAUGACCUAGCUCAAGAAAAAAUUAUCGUUCUUCGGAAAGAGACACAUUCAUAAUCUGAACUGCUCGACAUACUUCCACUUAAAAUUUGUGCACCUCCAUCAGAGACAAUGGCAUCAAGCCCCGCAAAGUCUCCCAGCAAGGGAUCUAAAUAUCAAACAAUUAAUGCCACUCUACAACCCCAUUAACCUGCAGAAAGUACACCCACAGAGCUAGCAGCUCCUUCUAAAAUUCAUCCACCUUUUCAAGCCACUGCUGCAUUAAUGAUGAUUGCCAGGACAACAUCGUUUGUAAAGCGUGAAUUUCCUACGCCAUCGUUCAGCCUUAGCUUUACUGAUUCGAGUCAGGAUGAAACAUUGACUCAGGCUGGGCGACCGGCUAUUGAGAAGGGAAAAAGCCAAGAGAGCCUGUACUGGUUAAAGAUUUAGAGGAGCUGGUGGAGCAGGUUUGUAAACACUGAGGUUGCGACAACUUUAAAUUUUGAUGAGGAUAGAAGUCCAACACGCCAAAAGGUGUAGCCCGCCGAGCGCUUUGUUGACAAGUUCGAAACUUCUACGAGGCGAAGCAAAGUAUCGGGUGACCUCAAAGAAAAGUGCUUUUUCUGGGCCACAAAUAUGAAGACCUAUGACGAUGGAAGCACUAACGAGUGGGACGUAAUGUGCAUCCUCAACCAUCAACAACCGAUGUAAAUAACAAAAGGCCACUUUGCAUCUUUAAAAGCCAACACAUAUAUUAAAGCUAAGGGCUACGCGAUUUCUAGAAUGAGGGUAUUUGCUGGUGGCCAACCUCUCAGAAAAAAGGAAAAUCAAAUUAAACCGCCAGAUGUCAACAUUGUGGCCCAACAAAUGAGCUAUGAUUGUGCUGUUUAUGUAAUGAAAUAGCUCAAGAUAAUCGAACCCGAAGACAUUAAAAAGGGCAAAUAUGGCUGGGAGAAUUGGACGCAGGCGGAGGUGGACCAUUUUAGAGUUGAAUACGCUCCGUUGAUUCUAUUUGAUGAAAUGAAUCAACUAAGAGAUAGAGCCAUUCAAAAAAGCGAAGCAAUCAGAUUGUCCAAGCCAUCUGCAACAUUGUUGAGUCCAUAUUGUCAAUUACAUUUAGAAGAUAUUGACAGUCAAUAGUUUGAAUGUUGUGUACUAAAUUGUAUAGUUUGAACACAUAUUUUUUGUAUAGUUUGUAAAUAUUUAA